GUUCGCAUCACUGGUUUUGCGUGUGUUAUAUCUACUGCACAUAUUGAAGUCCCCUUUUCUUUCUCAAUAAUAUUUAAGUCCCCUUUUCAAUAGGUGUAUUAGUGUAGUAUAAGAUACUGCAUCAUAUGUGAUUAUCCAAGAAAACAAGCUACUUUCUGAGGUUUCCCUUUCCAGAUUUGUUUCCAAGUUCCCUUGUUACUGAGUUGGUCAGGACAUUAUAGCAUUCCUUCACUGAGAAUUUACCCGGGUUUUUUUCCACUUCUCAUAAGGGAG
rnacentral:misc_RNA from 1 species